AACCUUAUGGACCUGCGGGCGUAUACCUGCGGAGGGAUCAUUACACAACAAAAUAUGAAGGUCUGGCUUCGCGGCCGGCUGAAGUAUUUUUUUUCACCCAUGUCUUUUGCGCACUUGUUGUUUCCUGGGCGGGUUCGCCCGCCACCAGGACCAAACCAUAAACCUUUUUUUUAUGUAGUUGCAAUCAGCGUCAGUAAAAACAAUGUAAUUAUUACAACUUUUAACAAUGGAUCUCAGAUC
rnacentral:misc_RNA from 1 species